rnacentral:siRNA from 1 species
CACCAAUAACCUACCUGGUGG